rnacentral:rRNA from 1 species
AUUGAACGCUGGCGGCAUGCCUUACACAUGCAAGUCGAACGGCAGCAUGAUCUAGCUUGCUAGAUUGAUGGCGAGUGGCGAACGGGUGAGUAAUACAUCGGAACGUGCCCUGUAGUGGGGGAUAACUAGUCGAAAGAUUAGCUAAUACCGCAUACGACCUGAGGGUGAAAGUGGGGGACCGCAAGGCCUCAUGCUAUAGGAGCGGCCGAUGUCUGAUUAGCUAGUUGGUGAGGUAAAGGCUCACCAAGGCGACGAUCAGUAGCUGGUCUGAGAGGACGAUCAGCCACACUGGGACUGAGACACGGCCCAGACUCCUACGGGAGGCAGCAGUGGGGAAUUUUGUACAAUGGGCGAAAGCCUGAUCCAGCAAUGCCGCGUGUGUGAAGAAGGCCUUCGGGUUGUAAAGCACUUUUGUCCGGAAAGAAAUGGCUCUGGUUAAUACCUGGGGUCGAUGACGGUACCGGAAGAAUAAGGACCGGCUAACUACGUG